rnacentral:rRNA from 1 species
GUCCACGCCCUAACGAUGUCAACUGGUUGUUGGGUCUUCACUGACUCAGUAACGAAGCUAACGCGUGAAGUUGACCGCCUGGGGAGUACGGCCGCAAGGUUGAACUACAAGGAAUUGACGGGGACCCGCACAAGCGGUGGAUGAUGUGGUUUAAUUCGAUGCAACGCGAAACCUUACCCACCUUUGACAUGUACGGACCCUUUAGAGAUAGAGGGUGCUCGAAAGAGAGCCGUAAACACAGGUGCUGCAUGGCUGUCGU